rnacentral:rRNA from 1 species
AUGCUCCUACUUUCGGAAUGGAGUUGGGAACGCCUACCAGUUGAACACCCGAAAGAGGUAUCGUUCAAGGCUUGGGACGAUCAUGGCAACCCUCUACGGCUACCCACUUACAAGUGGGACGUGGUAUCAGAGAUCACGAGCGAUGUCGCUAUCAUGUAUAGGCAGUACACCAAUGAGAUGGAUACGCUUAUCGCUGAGCAGGUAAAUAUUGACAUUACAUCACUCACUCGCAUGCUCUCUAUGAAAACUCAACAUCAAUGUUGUUGUGCUAUGUUGCAAGUGGAAUGGCAGCCAUAUGGUGUCGGGGAUAGCUUCGGUGUAGCAUUGCUCUUUGGAGAACCCAUUUCCUCUCUGCCUUCCCAAAUCCCUGUCGCACGAUUUUCUUCACUAACCUCGGGGCAUCAACCCGGACCCUCAAAACACCAUUGA